rnacentral:rRNA from 1 species
UACGUAGGGUGCGAGCGUUAAUCGGAAUUACUGGGCGUAAAGGGUGCGCAGGCGGUUCUGCAAGUCAGGCGUGAAAGCCCCGGGCUUAACCUGGGAAUGGCGCUUGAAACUACAGGACUGGAGUAUGGCAGAGGGAGGUGGAAUUCCACGUGUGGCGGUGAAAUGCGUAGAGAUGUGGAGGAACACCGAUGGCGAAGGCAGCCUCCUGGGCCAAUACUGACGCUCAUGCACGAAAGCGUGGGGAGCAAACAGG